rnacentral:rRNA from 1 species
UCCCACAGCCAUAUCACCCUGCAGCCCAAGACCGGUUACUCACUGAAGCUAAGCAGGGCUGAGCCUGGUCAGUACCAUGGGAGACAACUAGGGAACACUAGGUUGCUGUUGGAA